rnacentral:rRNA from 1 species
AACGAACGCUGGCGGCAGGCUUAACACAUGCAAGUCUAGCGCCCCGCAAGGGGAGCGGCAGACGGGUGAGUAACGCGUGGGAACGUACCCUUUGCUACGGAAUAGCUCCUGGAAACUGGAAUUAAUUCCGUAUGUGCCCUACGGGGGAAAGAUUUAUCGGCAAAGGAUCGGCCCGCGUUGGAUUAGCUAGUUGGUGGGGUAAUGGCUUACCAAGGCGACGAUCCAUAGCUGGUCUGAGAGGAUGAUCAGCCACAUUGGGACUGAGACACGGCACAAACUCCUACGGGAGGCAGCAGUGGGGAAUAUUGGACAAUGGGCGCAAGCCUGAUCCAGCCAUGCCGCGUGAGUGAUGAAGGCCUUAGGGUUGUAAAGCUCUUUCACCGGAGAAGAUAAUGACGGUAUCCGGAGAAGAAGCCCCGGCUAACUUCGUGCCAGCCGCCGCUAUAAAAC